GACGAAGGGGGCUAGCGUUGUUCGGAAUUACUGGGCGUAAAGCGCGUGUAGGUGGUUGUUCAAGUUGGAUGUGAAAGCCUUGAGCUCAACUCAAGAAAUGCAUUCAGGACUGAGCGACUAGAGGACCGGAGAGGAUAGUGGAAUUCCCAGUGUAGUGGUGAAAUACGUAGAGAUUGGGAAGAACACCAGUGGCGAAGGCGGCUAUCUGGACGGUUUCUGACACUAAGACUCGAAAGCGUGGGGAGCAAACAGG
rnacentral:rRNA from 1 species